GACGUAGGGCGCGAGCGUUGUCCGGAUUUAUUGGGCGUAAAGAGCUCGUAGGCGGCUUGUUGCGUCGGCUGUGAAAACCCAUGGCUCAACCGUGGGCUUGCAGCCGAUACGGGCAGGCUAGAGUUCGGUAGGGGAGACUGGAAUUCCCGGUGUAGCGGUGAAAUGCGCAGAUAUCGGGAGGAACACCGGUGGCGAAGGCGGUUCUCUGGGCCUUACCUGACGCUGAGGAGCGAAAGCGUGGGGAGCGAACAGG
rnacentral:rRNA from 1 species